GCGUUGUUCGGAGUUACUGGGCGUAAAGAGUGUGUAGGUGGUUUUCUAAGUUUGGUGUGAAAUCUCCCGGCUCAACUGGGAGGGUGCGCCGAAAACUGGAAGGCUUGAGUAUGGGAGAGGAAAGCGGAAUUCCUGGUGUAGCGGUGAAAUGCGUAGAUAUCAGGAGGAACACCUGCGGUGUAGACGGCUUUCUGGACCAUUACUGACACUGAGACACGAAAGCGUG
rnacentral:rRNA from 1 species